rnacentral:rRNA from 1 species
CAUAGUUCACCAGCAAUCUCUUCAAAACAUAUUGUGCUAACCUUGGGACGCAGAUAUGCUACACUUCGGUGGCACACCCCCGGAGUAACGGCCAAGCCGAGCGCACCAACGCAGAGAUCCUGA